GACAUGCAGCUAUGACAUACUGAUGUUUCACAGAUACCACAGAGGUCACAUGAAGGCUCUUUUUGUACAUGGUGCUCCUCAAAAAGAUACCAACAAUGUAAGACUGUUUCAAGCCUAAGUAACUUCUCCCUCUGAGCUCUAGGGCAGAAGCAGUUCACUGAACACUGAUUGCUUAGGGCUCCACAGGAAAUUGUAUGUUUGAAGAACAACCCUUUUCUGCCACAGGGAAUCCAAUCAUAUCAAUACAGGGAAAAAAGAAAAAAAAAGGGAAAAACAAAGAAAAAAGAAAAAAAAAAGGGAAAAACAAAGAAAAAAAAGAAAAAAGAAGUAAUUCUGCUUAUUUUCAGAAGGAAGCAAGUGAAAUUAUGGACUCAAAAGCCAGGAGAUGCAUGUAGAAAAUGCAGCAGUGGGAGAGAAUAUACACCAAAUGAUGGACAUUAAAAAAAUAACUUCUACUAAAAAACCAACGUGUCUUUGCCUUGGUGAUGCUACCAGAGCUAGUUCUAACUGAAUAUACUUCUUUUAUUUCCAGAAUAUGAAAU